GGUGGAUGCCUUGGCAUGCACAGGCGAUGAAGGACGUGAUACGCUGCGAUAAGCGUCGGGGAGGUGCGAAUACCCUUGAUCCGUAGAUUUCCGAAUGGGGAAACCCACCUAAGGUGUUGGAAAAUCAGAGCAG
rnacentral:rRNA from 1 species